AGACAUUUUUUUUUUUUUUUUUGGUAACUGUCAAGCAAGUGACACUUGUUGCCUAUCACCAGGAGUAGGAGUCCAAACACUUCUGCCAACUGCAUCUUGGUAUCAGAGUCACUAUGGAACACCUCAUUACUCACACAGAGAAGAGCAGAACAAGUGAACAAACAGAAGGAUUUCUCUUAUCACACUGAAGAAACUAUGCAUUUGAUUUCAGACUGAAAAGAGAAUUAGAAGUAACAAUACAGCAGCAGCGGCAGCAGCAUCAUAAUACUUCACUUUCAACCUUGGAUGACAUCAGCAACUCUCUAGCAUGCUUCUAUGGAUUUUCACCAUAUGCCUGGAAACUCAAGGCCACUGUUUCCAC
rnacentral:lncRNA from 1 species